rnacentral:rRNA from 1 species
GGGGGGGGGGGGGGGGGGGGGGGGGGGGGGGGGGGGGGGGGGGGGGGGCGGGGUGGGGGGGUACGCGGGGGGGGGACGGGGGGGUGAGGCGUGAGUAACCUGCCCGGGACUGUGGGAUACCUUCAGGGAACUGGGGCUAAUACCGGAUAGGAGCUCCUGCUGCAUGGGGGGGGUUGGAAAGUUUCGGCGGUUGGGGAUGGACUCGCGGCUUAUCAGCUUGUUGGUGGGGUAGUGGCUUACCAAGGCUUUUCCGGGUAGCCGGCCUGAGAGGGUGACCGGCCACAUUGGGACUGAGAUACGGCCCAGACUCCUACGGGAGGCAGCAGUGGGGAAUAUUGCACAAUGGGUGGAAGCCUGAUGCAGCAACGCCGUGUGCGGGAUGACGGCCGUCGGGUUGUAAACCGCUUUCGCUCAUGACGAAGCUUUGUGUGACGGUAGUGGGUAAAGAAGCACCGGCUAACUACGUG